UGGGAUAAAAACCCCGAGAGAGAGAGAGGAAGAGAAUGACAGUGAGCUCGAGAGAUGGAGAAGGCACUCACGGAUGAGAGAGAUAGAAGAGAAUGAGACUUGAUGAACAUGGGUGAAUGGAACAAGGCUGGCCGAAGGUUCUUUUCGUUGUAGGGGCAUAUUAUUCAGUGAGAGCAGCCCUCCACCGAGCAACAUUCUCCUGCUGUUUGUCCUUUUCAUGGUUAGCAAAUGCUUCUGUAAAGCAACCGAUCUGCUUCCGAACAUCUGAAGGAUCAACAUUGUAAAACCCAGGAAGGACCAUCUGCCGGAGGGAUUUAUCGUUCCUGCACUUCAUGAUCUCAGAGAGCUCCUCGAGACACCAACUUGAGUUGCAUAGUUUCUCGAGAGGACCACCACCAAGAUCCGGGAGCUCUGGAUUGGGCCUCUUAAGGCUGGAUGGUAUGUGUUGACCUCUCUGGAGAUUGCUAUCUAUGAACGUGUUCUCCUUUCUCGUCCAAGUACUAGGAGAGGAAGGAGUGGCGUGUGUCUGGACCUCAGAAGCUCAGGAAGACAUCGUACUUCCAUCGCUUAUAAGAAUAACUCCCCGAGACAUCGUGCCUCCUCCAUCGCUUAUUGGAAACAGAGUAUCCAAACUCAGUAGCCAUAGAUGUGCAAAACUCUCGGAGAGCUCUCUCAGGUAAUUUGUCUAGAAGGGAGAGGCGAGCUCAUCAUCUACUGUAUUGUUCAAUGUCUGUGAGCCUCCUAAUUGCUCUUGGACUUUUUUAAGUAGUCUGGCAUCUUCUAGGAAACUCUUUUCCUAUUAUGAAGUAUUAGUAGUAAUGGAAUGAAUUGGGUUUUUCUGUC